UACGUAGGGUGCAGGCGUUGUCCGGAAUUAUUGGGCGUAAAGAGCUCGUAGGCGGCUUGUCACGUCGGCUGUGAAAACCCGGGGCUCAACCCCGGGCCUGCAGUCGAUACGGGCAAGCUAGAGUUCGGCAGGGGAGACUGGAAUUCCUGGUGUAGCGGUGAAAUGCGCAGAUAUCAGGAGGAACACCGGUGGCGAAGGCGGGUCUCUGGGCCGAUACUGACGCUGAGGAGCGAAAGCGUGGGGAGCGAACAGG
rnacentral:rRNA from 1 species